rnacentral:lncRNA from 1 species
UUCCAAAAUCCUUGCCAUGGUACAUCUUGUAUAAAUUUUGUCUGUGUGUCCUUUAUCCUAGCUAUGACUGGAUCUUAGCAUCUUUUCUUUUCCAUGCAUGCCAAUUAAUUUCAUCUCUGAAAUCUGUCUCCUCACCAUGCGAAAAUCCUGCAGUUGCUAAUCCACCACAGAAGUGACAUCGACACAGUAUGGCUGAGAGAAUACUUAUAAGGAGCCCAAAUGAAGAAAUAAUUAUGCCGUGGUUUUUGAAGAGGAAUGAGGCAUGAUAUGAACAUAACAAGAAGAAUGAUUUCCACUGCUACAUUUUAUGGCACCAGUGGGACUGCACAAAUUCUGAGAGCAUUUCCUUUCGUGGCCCUGCUUCUGUAAGGGUCAGAUACCACAUUUCAGAUCAGAAGUUGAGAAAGUUGUUAGCAGUGGUGUCUCAAAACAGCCCUUUUGAAGUUUCAUGGAAACCUCGACAAUGCACUGUUAUGUGGUUUGGAGCACCUGUCAGCCUCUGCCUAUGAUUCACAGGUAAGGCUUUUUUUCCCUAUCUGCUCAUCACUCAAAAGACAAGUCAGCCAAGGUAAAGGUUCAUCCACUAACAUGCUCCUUGGAAAU